CGCGUAGGCGGAUUAGCAAGUCAGAUGUGAAAUUUCGGGGCUUAACCCCGAAGCUGCAUUUGAAACUAUUAAUCUUGAGGGUAGGCGGAGAAAAUGGAAUUCCACGUGUAGCGGUGAAAUGCGUAGAUACGUGGAGGAACACCGGUGGCGAAGCGAUUUCUAGCUUAUACCUGACGCUGAGGCGCGAGAGCAAGGGGGAGCAAACA
rnacentral:rRNA from 1 species